rnacentral:misc_RNA from 1 species
UUGUGGAGGAGGACGCCGAAGGUGGGGCUAAUGACUGGGGUGAAGUCGUAACAAGGUAGCCGUACCGGAAGGUGCGGCUGGAUCACCUCCUAACAGGGAGACAACAAAAUGUAAAUAUUAAUUUUGUCACCUUAGGUCGAUCGGUAUCUCAGAUUCUUAUUUUUUAAGAAUUUCAGUUUCUAAGUUUUUUCUAGGUCACACCCAUCACUUUUUCCUGGGCCAUUAGCUCAGGUGGUUAGAGCGCACCCCUGAUAAGGGUGAGGUCCCUGGUUCAAGUCCAGGAUGGCCCAUAUCUCUAUGUUGGGGGUAUAGCUCAGUUGGUAGAGCGCCUGCUUUGCAAGCAGGAUGUCAGCGGUUCGAGUCCGCUUACCUCCACUGAAUACCACCUCUUACAUAUUUAAAGAGGGAAGUUGUCUUGAGUCGUGUCCUAAUUUGCUCUGAGCGAAUCUAGCUUCCUAUUUUAUUCAAUAAAUAAGAUGCUGGACUCAUUGAAUUUUUUUUCAUUGUUUUCAGAGAACCUUGACAACUGCAUAGAUUAUUUUUGAAGACAAUAAGCAUCUUUAAUGAUGCAGAUUUAUUAUUUGUGCGAAUGCAUUAAAUAGCAAUUCUAUUAAGCUGAUGCUUCAAUUAUUGAAGUUAUUGGUCAAGCUACAA